rnacentral:rRNA from 1 species
UGUAUCUGAAAUCAAGCAGGAUAACCCGCUGAACUUAAGCAUAUCAAUAAGCGGAGGAGAAGAAAUCAACAGAGAUUGCCUCAGUAACGGCGAGUGAAGCGGCAAAAGCCCAAAAUGGAAAUCUUGGCGAAAGCCACGAAUUGUAAUCUAUAGAGGUUCAGCUCAACGGGUGGUGGCGCAGAAGUGACCUCGAACGGUCCGCCAGAGAGGGUGACAGCCCCGUAUGUGGUGCCAUCGCUUAACGAGCUGGGUUUCGAAGAGUCGGGUUGUUUAGUAUUGCAGCCCUAAGUGGGAGAUAAACUUCUUCUAAGGCUAAAUAUUUACGGGAAACCGAUAGCGAACAAGUACUGUGAAGGAAAGAUGAAAAGAACUUUGAAAAGAGAGUCAAAAGACUUGAAAUCGUUGAGAAGGAAGGAGAAGACAUUUAUCCUAUGGCCGAGGACGGUGUUAGUCGCCAAAUCAUUGCAGGCAAAAGAUACGUCAAAGGUCUUAGUUUGCACCGUGAGGAAAGUGACUGGCUUGGACUCAGUUGUGAGGCAAGAUGGGGUCACGUAGCCUCAAAGGUUGCAUAUGAAACGGCGUCUUCGGAUGUCAGCAUAAGUAAGCCGAAGGAGACGUGGCCUGAGGAAGCUUAGGCGAUCUUGUCAAAAUGGUGUUUUCUCACCCGUCUUUGAAACACGGACCAAGGAGUCUAACACAUAUGCGAGUGUGAUGGUGGAAAAACCAACACGCGAAAUGAAAGUGAGUGAUGCCAAGGAAACAGCAGCAUCAACCGACCAUGAUCCUCUGGUGAAAGGUUUGAGUAAGAGCAUAUCUGUUAGGACCCGAAAGAUGGUGAACUAUGCCUGAGUAGGGUGAAGCCAGGGGAAACUCUGGUGGAGGCUCGUAGCGGUUCUGACGUGCAAAUCGAUCGUCAAACUUGGGUAUAGGGGCGAAAGACUAAUCGAACCAUCUAGUAGCUGGUUCCCUCCGAAGUUUCCCUCAGGAUAGCUGGGACAAAUACGCAGUUUUAUUAGGUAAAGCGAAUGAUUAGAGGAAUCGGGGGCGCAAUGCCCUCGACCUAUUCUCAAACUCUAAAUUGGUAAGAACUCUGGCCUUUCUUAAGUGAGGCAUGGAGGUUCAAUGCGUGUCCCAAGUGGGCCAUUUUUGGUAAGCAAAACUGGCGAUGAGGGAUGCUCCUAACGUUGAGUUAAGGUGCCCAACUGCACGCUCAUCAAAAACUACAAAGGGUGUUGGUUCAUAUAGACAGCAGGACGGUGGCCAUGGAAGUCGGAACCCGCUAAGGAGUGUGUAACAACUCACCUGCCGAAUGAACUAGCCCCGAAAAUGGAUGGCGCUCAAGCGUGCGACCGAUACUCGACCAUU